AACCUAGCACACCUGCGGUGUGUACCUGCGGAAGGAUCAUUACAAGUGACCCCGGUCUAACCACCGGGAUGUUCAUAACCCUUUGUUGUCCGACUCUGUUGCCUCCGGGGCGACCCUGCCUUCGGGCGGGGGCUCCGGGUGGACACUUCAAACUCUUGCGUAACUUUGCAGUCUGAGUAAACUUAAUUAAUAAAUUAAAACUUUUAGCAAUGGAUCU
rnacentral:misc_RNA from 1 species